GAUGAAGAACGCAGCAAAAUGCGAUAAGUAAUGUGAAUUGCAGAAUUCAGUGAAUCAUCGAAUCUUUGAACGCACAUUGCGCCCGCCAGUAUUCUGGCGGGCAUGCCUGUACGAGCGUCAUUUCAACCCUCAAGCACAGCUUGGUGUUGGGACUCGCGUUAAUUCGCGUUCCCCAAAUUGAUUGGCGGUCACGUCGAGCUUCCAUAGCGUAGUAGUAAAACCCUCGUUACUGGUAAUCGUCGCGGCCACGCCGUUAAACCCCAACUUCUGAAUGUUGACCUCGGAUCAGGUAGGAAUACCCGCUGAACUUAAGCAUAUCAAUAAGCGGAGGA
rnacentral:misc_RNA from 1 species